rnacentral:rRNA from 1 species
AUUGAACGCUGGCGGCAUGCCUUACACAUGCAAGUCGAACGGUAACAGGUCUUCGGAUGCUGACGACUGGCGAACGGGUGAGUAAUACAUCGGAACGUGCCUAGCAGUGGGGGAUAACUACUCGAAAGAGUGGCUAAUACCGCAUGAGAUCUACCGAUGAAAGCAGGGGAGCGCAAGACCUUGCGCCACUAGAAGGGCCGAUGGCAGAGUAGGUAGUGGGUGUGAUAAAAGCUUACCAAGCCGACGAUCUGUAGCUGGUCUGAGAGGACGAUCAGCCACACUGGGACUGAGACACGGCCCAGACUCCUACGGGAGGCGGCAGUGGGGAAUUUUGGACAAUGGGCGCAAGCCUGAUCCAGCAAUGCCGCGUGCAGGAUGAAGGCCUUCGGGUUGUAAACUGCUUUUGUACGGAACGAAAAGCCCUGGGUUAAUACCCUGGGGUCAUGACGGUACCGUAAGAAUAAGCACCGGCUAACUACGUGCCAGCCGCCGCCGUAAAAC